rnacentral:rRNA from 1 species
GAUGAACGCUGGCGGCGUGCCUAAUACAUGCAAGUCGAGCGAAUGGAUUAAGAGCUUGCUCUUAUGAAGUUAGCGGCGGACGGGUGAGUAACACGUGGGUAACCUGCCCAUAAGACUGGGAUAACUCCGGGAAACCGGGGCUAAUACCGGAUAAUAUUUUGAACUGCAUGGUUCAAAAUUGAAAGGCGGCUUCGGCUGUCACUUAUGGAUGGACCCGCGUCGCAUUAGCUAGUUGGUGAGGUAACGGCUCACCAAGGCAACGAUGCGUAGCCGACCUGAGAGGGUGAUCGGCAACACUGGGACUGAGACACGGCCCAGACUCCUACGGGAGGCAGCAGUAGGGAAUCUUCCGCAAUGGACGAAAGUCUGACGGAGCAACGCCGCGUGAGUGAUGAAGGCUUUCGGGUCGUGAAACUCUGUUGUUAGGGAAGAACAAGUGCUAGUUGAAUAAGCUGGCACCUUGACGGUACCUAACCAGAAAGCCACGGCUAACUACGUGCCAGCCGCCGCCGUAA